UACGUAGGGGGCUAGCGUUGUCCGGAAUCAUUGGGCGUAAAGCGCGCGUAGGCGGCCCAGUAAGUCCGUUGUAAAAGUCAAAGGCUCAACCUUUGAAAGCCGAUGGAUACUGCUGGGCUAGAGUCCGGAAGAGGCGAGUGGAAUUCCUGGUGUAGCGGUGGAAUGCGCAGAUAUCAGGAGGAACACCGAUAGCGAAGGCAGCUCGCUGGGAUGGUACUGACGCUGAGGCGCGAAAGCGUGGGGAGCGAACAGG
rnacentral:rRNA from 1 species